UCGAGGGUGGUGAAACCCUUUGCUGUAGAAAUUUGUGAUGCGUUUGGGCUUUGGGAUCUCAUUCUCCCCUAUGUCGAUUAUGAAAAUUGUAACAGAAGCAUGCUGAAAAUCUAAAUGCACUCCUUUUUUCUGAAUUUUGAUCAUAAUUAGAUCCAUGAAUCUUUUAUGUAUUUGGUAUUGCCUUAAUUGAAGUUUGAUGCCUGAGGUCUGAGGAUAACAGUAGGUUUUGUAAUAUUCCUUGGAAUAACAGUUGGUAUUCUAGAGAUGGCCGAGCUUUCACUUGAUGAACCCGAGAUGGAAAGUAUGAUUUUUGAUGAUGUACUUGAUGGUGAAGAAUGAAACUAUUAGUACUUAUGUUUAUUUUAUUUAUGAUUUGUAAAACUACUUAAUAUUAAGACAUGUAUUUGGUUUGAUGGUUUCUUCCUA